GGGGGCAUAGUGAAAUGGCAUCACGACUCUCUCCAAAAGAGUUAUUCUAGGUUCGAAUCCUAGUGCCCCCG
rnacentral:tRNA from 1 species